rnacentral:rRNA from 1 species
GAUGAACGCUGGCGGCGUGCCUAAUACAUGCAAGUCGAGCGAAUGGAUUGAGAGCUUGCUCUUAUGAAGUUAGCGGCGGACGGGUGAGUAACACGUGGGUAACCUGCCCAUAAGACUGGGAUAACUCCGGGCAACCGGGGCUAAUACCGGAUAACAUUUUGAACCGCAUGGUUCGAAAUUGAAAGGCGGCUUCGGCUGUCACUUAUGGAUGGACCCGCGUCGCAUUAGCCAGUUGGUGAGGUAACGGCGCACCAAGGCAACGAUGCGUAGCCGACCUGAGAGGGUGAUCGGCCACACUGGGACUGAGACACGGCCCAGACUCCUACGGGAGGCAGCAGUAGGGAAUCUUCCGCAAUGGACGAAAGUCUGACGGAGCAACGCCGCGUGAGUGAUGAAGGCUUUCGGGUCGUAAAACUCUGUUGUUAGGGAAGAACAAGUGCUAGUUGAAUAAGCUGGCACCUUGACGGUACCUAACCAGAAAGCCACGGCUAACUACGUGCCAGCCGCCGCAGUAA